UAAAGGAUAAAUAUAACUCUCAAACUAACCAGAAAACAGGCCUCAAAUAAAGCAGAGGUAAAAUUACCUCCUUUAAUAUUUUCAGAGGUGGUGAGGAGUUUUGUUUGGUUUCCUAGCUGAAAAAGCACUGUUUCGAAAGGGCCUUCUAACUGGGACAAAGAUACUGUGGCUAACUAUAAAAUUGAGUCAGCUAGUGGAAAAGAUUAGGUAAUAUGGCUACCUGCAACAGCAAAGAACUGGAAUUACCCAGAAGGUCUCUCUGCAGUUCUGUGUUCCUAAAACAGUCAGUUGACAGCCCUGGAAACUGAAAACCUCUGUUUCUCCACAGCACACACUGCUCUGUCCUGAGCUCUAGGGUUAAGAAUGGAAUCCAGCAUCAAAGCCACUUGUUCCUAACCCUUCUCAGCUGAGAUGCCAACAAGGGGACAGUUCAUAUCUGUUCAAUGGGAAUACUUUUGAUGUGCAACUAGAACUUUGAGACAAAGCCUUCAAUUCUUUAAUGUCAAUGUACUGUCCACAGAUGACAAUAAUUUAAGACUUGAUCUUCGUGUGAAGAAGUGAUCUGCAGGUGGAUGGCUAGGUAGCCCUUUGGAAAUACUGUCAGCUAAUCUGUUCCUGGUUAAAAGCAACAAAAUUUUGCUGCUCCUCUUAUUAAACUGUUGAUGUCUCUCAUCCUAGACGAGGCCAGCUAACUCAAAUCCUUCAAGCUUUUGCAUGUGAAAACAAGAAAGCUUCAUCAAGUAAAGCCAGAGAAGAUGAAGAAAUCCUGAGAAUAUUAGUUUCCUAGAUACUAAGCAGUCAUACAAUCUCUGCCCCUCUUUUAUGGAUUUGGGACUGAACUUGCACUAUUUGAGAAGCACAAAGGAAGUUUUACACUAGCCUUACUACAGUCUAUCAAAACAGGGAUUUAGAAGAACUUCACAUAUUGUUUCCUUGGGAUUUCUCAGGUCUAACUCUUUACACAGUCCUGAAGGAAAGACAUGGAUUCGCAGUUCUCUGGAUGGGGACACAGCACAAGCUAUGAGACAUGUGAGGCCUGGGAGCCAUGGCACAGCAGCCUUGCAGCAGUCCUGAAGCAGCCAGAGAGGGUGGCCAGAGGACCAGAUGGAGGAGUAAAGGAUUAAAAAUAAAAUAAUGCUGUAGGAAAAGGAAGGGGCAUUGGAAUGUCCAAAGCAGCCGAUCUGCCGCAUUAAUCCUUCGUCAAUGCUGCCAGCCCUCACUCCUUCUCUGAAUCCCCAAAGGCCAUACUCUGCAGGAUCUAGUUUCCUACAGAUAUCCUUCCCCUCUUCUAUCCUCUAAAAAUACCCUGACCACCACCUUCUCAGAAACGAAGUACUGCCCAGGUCUCAUAUCCCCUAAUUUCAAAUCCUCAGUCCCGAUUCCCUACACUGGGUCGGGCUAACACUUGAAAAGUGUUGCUUGAAGAGCAACAAAAGAGUCGUGAACAGAUGUAAUUCAGCUUCACUUCAGGCUUACCAGUUUUCAACAGCUAGGAAUCUGGCCCUAAUUUUGAAAUCCUAAUUCAUACCACAUUUUACUUUGGCUAUUGAUGCCAUCGAAUAAAAACAAAAAUUGCUCAAAGUAUUUGGCACUCUUCAAACUUCUCUUUUUUGCACCAAAUGAAGCCAGGGCACUAGCAGGAGUUAGUUAGCAACAGAAAAGGCAGGAGAUUCUGCUGUUCCUGUUCUUAAUAGGGGGCCAGUUCUAGGGCAGAAAUAUGUUGUAAAUGUAUGCUAUAAAAUGAAUAGGACACCUACUCUCCAACUCCUUUCCCUACUGCAGGAGAGAGAAAGUAACAGAUAUUCUCAAACAGUUUCCUGAACAGGGGAGAAGAACUUUGCACAUAUCAGGACUGUGUUUGUGUAGGCCUGGAAUAUAUGCAUACAGUUAACUCCCUUCUCUUGAGUAGGCUAUCUUUUAUAGCUGUUCACUCUCCUUCGCUUACCCUAAUCCGCAUGCACAAUUUAUGUGAAAGUAGCUUAUUAGAAAAUAUUUGUUAGCCUCAAAUACUUGUUGAUAGCCACAGUCAAGCUUGUGUGCGUGUAUUGAUUCUAACUNUCUCUAAAAAACAACAGUGGCAUCACUGAGCACUGAUAUCCCAAGACUACACAAGUAGUAGAGUACUCAAAUGCAGGCCCUUUCUGGGAAAUUGUUUGCAUGACUUUUCAAAUUUGGUUUCUUGUGC
ensembl:lncRNA